GUAAAAAUUUCUCUCAGUGCGAGAGGCAGGCACGUGACACGAAAGGGUUUCUUGAUAGGUGUAAUUUUCAAUUUCAAUAUCGUCGCUUCGCCACGCCGCAGGCGAUGUAGAGAAAGCAUGGAGGAGGGAGCGAUAUUUUAUAAAUAUUCAGUACGUUGAAUUUGUUUUUAAUAUUUAUUCCUCAGCGGACAAGCAUCGUGUUUUAUUAUCGUACAUGCAGAAUGUAUUACCUACCGUCUAUCGGUAUGUACGAUAUGUUUAUAAUAUAUACCACAACAAUAUCGCAAUUUGUGUAAUUAUCUGCAACUGCGUGGCUGUUCUAAACUAUCAAUCAAGAUCACCGAGACGCCGUCAGAGAUCUUUGCGCAAAUGUCAAUCGAGAUUUAACAAUAAGCAGAAUCACAUUUGAAUAAUCAUAAUCGCAGGCUCUACGCAGCGGUUCGCAAGUUUGAUGUGUCUAUGCAUAAUACAUCGCUUUGUAUCGUGUAUACGAUACAUAUGUGUUUGUAAUAUUACGAACUAACAAAUCGGAUAUUUCAUAUAACGUGUUAUCAACUGGGAAAAUAAGGCGAAGCAAGUACGAUAACAAAGAUAUAAAUAAGAAAAAAAAUUUUUAUUGUACAUAAAAAAUGUCGCAUUUAUAAUUGUUCACAAGAUGUGGAAAACGUACGAUUGACAAAAGAUAUCAAGAGACACUUUGCGUUACAAAAAGGAAAAAUAUUACUUAGACCUGCGCAACGGUUGCGAUGAUUAGUUUACUUACGUUUUGCACAAAUUCGCUAGUAGAAAAUAAUUUUUUUACAUAUCUACCGUAUCGAAUGCAGCAGAGAAUGCGGUCGAACGAAGUGUGCAAAGACGCAAGAGUAGUUACAAGUGUUACGAUUAUUCGAGUACAUGUGUAAUAAAAGUGAGCCGUAAAUUUGAUAAAUCAAACAUACGUGCGGUGAUAAAGUUAUAAGUGUAAUUAUCGCGAGAGGAUUAAGAUUAUCGAGACAAGAGUGUAAACAAUGUGCGUUCAGUGUUCGAGCAGUAGUUAGAAUCCGAAAAAUAUAAGUGGUUAAAUAGAAAAAAAGCUUGUUCCAAACGUCUGUAUAUACAUAUCUGUAUGUAUACGAGGUACAUGCCGCAGCGUUAAACGUGUUUGAAAUUUACGAGUCAAAACAAUCAAUAACCUUUCAUAGCAUUGUAGCAGUAGCGAGGUGUGUAACUUGAUAACCCUGCAGCAGCUUUUUGCGCUGCGUAUACUUAUCCCUCAAUUCUGACAGAACUCGUAAAUUAACUUACUUACAUACUUCGCGCUUCGCUCAAACUCGGGGAAAAAUUAAUAAUCGCAGGCUCAGGUCCGCUUGAGUGAUAGGAGAAGAAAGCUGACCCGAGAUUAUUGUGUAACUUGUUAAAAAUGCUGGUGAAAUCGACGAGAAAAUUGAAACUCCAGAAUCAAACUUCCAAAUUAUCUGUUAUUGAAACAUGCAGUCUUGUGAAUCGAAAAACUUUACUAAAUUUCACCGAAUCUGUGAAAACUGAGAAAACUUGUACGAAGACUCGAGAUGUUGAGAACUACUGCCGACCGAAGUCUCGUACUGUAAACUCAGCAAAAUCGUCUGCGCAGCUGUACAUGCAUAAGGCACGGAGUUGCGGGGGGCGAUUCUGCCUUUCGCUCAUGCAUGGGGGAUAAGAAAGAGGGGGUAUUUCCACGCGAUGAGGAACAUCGUGUAAUGUAUGGCUGCGAUUCUAUAUGCGCGCGUAGUUUAUUUCAUCUUGAUUACGAAGCUCAGCUGCGGAAAUGGAUGGAGAAAAUUGAUGUCACCAAUCGCGUUAUCUUCUUUAUAGGAGAAACUAUGUGAGAAGUACGAUGCUUACUUUAUUUUCAAUCGAAUAUUCAGCCGGUGGAUGGGAAACAGCAACUCGACUUAUCGUCAUGGUUUCUUAUCCUGUUGCUUCGUCGUGAUCGACGACCACGGCUUCGAUUCACAACGAUGGGCCGAAUAAUUAGAACAACGCACAAGUCCGAAAGGGUUGGCCUUCCUUUCUUCACGAUUUCUUCACCAAAGACCUUUCAUCUCCGAAUCCAUUCGUACGACUUUGCCUGGACUAACCAGAUAUCAAGGAUUCCAAAAAAGGCGUUCCAAUUAUCGUGGUAUUAACAACUGACAAAUUGCGAAUAAAAUAUUGGAAAAUUCAAUUAUUUAUUCGUUUCAAUCCAGGUUACAAAAAGUAGCAGCAAUACAGUAUCAAAUGUAACAUAUCGUAUCUUGCAAGGGUGCAUUGCGCUUGUACGUAAGCCAGAACUUAGACUAUACUUACUAACUACGACAAUGACUGUCUAAUAUAAUAUUUUUCAUAUUCUGCUUAAUAUAAUAUAUACUGCAAUCCUUUGUACUGUUCUAAUGUUCAAACUUAUUACGAAAUAUUCAAUGUUAACAUACUUUUGCAUUUCUUUUCGACUUUCACUUUAUACUAUUAGUUAACUUGUUGAAAUACUACACACUGACACCCCAACACUUGUAUUAAGAUUAAGGCGUAUUAAAUAAACAGCUAAAACUUGGUAGUUA